rnacentral:rRNA from 1 species
UGAGGUAAGAGCUCACCUAGGCGACGAUGUGUAGCCGGUCUGAGAGGAUGAGCGGCCACAAUGGAACUGAGACACGGUCCAUACUCCUACGGGAGGCAGCAGUGGGGAAUAUUGCACAAUGGGGGAAACCCUGAUGCAGCAACGCCGCGUGAGUGAAGAAGGUUUUCGGAUUGUAAAGCUCUGUUAGCAGGGAAGAGGAAGGACGGUACCUGCAGAGGAAGCCACGGCUAACUACGUGCCAGCAGCCGCGGUAAUACGUAGGUGGCAAGCGUUGUUCGGAAUAACUGGGCGUAAAGGAUGCGUAGGCGGUUGAGUAAGUUAUGUGUUAAAUAUAUAGGCUUAACCUGUAGAAAGCACAUAAAACUGUUUAACUAGAGUGCAGGAGAGGUAAGUGGAAUUCCUAGUGUAGCGGUGAAAUGCGUAGAGAUUAGGAAGAACACCAGUGGCGAAGGCGACUUACUGGACUGUAACUGACGCUGAGGCAUGAGAGCAUGGGGAGCAAACAGGAUUAGAUACCCUGGUAGUCCAUGCUGUAAACGAUGGGUACUAGGUGUGGG